AGCAGUAGCCGCGGUAAAACGUAGGGUGCAAGCGUUAAUCGGAAUUACUGGGCGUAAAGCGUGCGCAGGCGGUUAUAUAAGACAGAUGUGAAAUCCCCGGGCUCAACCUGGGAACUGCAUUUGUGACUGUAUAGCUAGAGUACGGCAGAGGGGGAUGGAAUUCCGCGUGUAGCAGUGAAAUGCGUAGAUAUGCGGAGGAACACCGAUGGCGAAGGCAAUCCCCUGGGCCUGUACUGACGCUCAUGCACGAAAGCGUGGGGAGCAAACAGGAUUAGAUACCCCGGUAGUCCCUGUCUCUUAUAC
rnacentral:rRNA from 1 species